rnacentral:rRNA from 1 species
GGUUAAGCGAAUAAGCGUACACGGUGGAUGCCUAGGCAAUCAGAGGCGAUGAAGGACGUGCUAAUCUGCGAAAAGCGUCGGUAAGGUGAUAUGAACCGUUACACCCGACGAUAUCCGAAUGGGGAAACCCAGUAUCCAAUGGAUACUAUCAUUAACUGAAUCCAUAGGUUAAUGAGGCGAACCGGGAGAACUGAAACAUCUCAGUACCCCGAGGAAAAGAAAUCAACCGAGAUUCCCCUAGUAGCGGCGAGCGAACGGGGAGCAGCCCAGAGUCUUAAUCAAUAGCAGUGUCAGGAGAACGGUCUGGAAAGUCCGGCAGUAAAGGGUGAUAGCCCCGUAUCUGAAGAUGCUGUUAUUGUGAACUCGACGAGUAGGGCGGGACACGUGUUAUCCUGUCUGAAUAUGGGGGGACCAUCCUCCAAGGCUAAAUACUCCUGAUUGACCGAUAGUGAACCAGUACCGUGAGGGAAAGGCGAAAAGAACCCCGGCGAGGGGAGUGAAAAAGAACCUGAAACCGUGUACGUACAAGCAGUAGGAGCCUCUUUAUGGGGUGACUGCGUACCUUUUGUAUAAUGGGUCAGCGACUUAUAUUCUGUAGCAAGGUUAACCGUAUAGGGGAGCCGUAGGGAAACCGAGUCUUAACUGGGCGAAUGAGUUGCAGGGUAUAGACCCGAAACCCGGUGAUCUAUCCAUGGGCAGGUUGAAGGUUGGGUAACACUAACUGGAGGACCGAACCGACUAAUGUUGAAAAAUUAGCGGAUGACUUGUGGAUGGGGGUGAAAGGCCAAUCAAACCGGGAGAUAGCUGGUUCUCCCCGAAAGCUAUUUAGGUAGCGCCUCGUGAACUCAUCUUCGGGGGUAGAGCACUGUUUCGACUAGGGGGUCAUCCCGACUUACCAACUCGAUGCAAACUGCGAAUACCGAAGAAUGUUAUCACGGGAGACACACGGCGGGUGCUAACGUCCGUCGUGAAGAGGGAAACAACCCAGACCGCCAGCUAAGGUCCCAAAGUCAUGGUUAAGUGGGAAACGAAGUGGGAAGGCUCAGACAGCCAGGAUGUUGGCUUAGAAGCAGCCAUCAUUUAAAGAAAGCGUAAUAGCUCACUGGUCGAGUCGGCCCGCGCGGAAGAUGUAACGGGGCUAAACCAUGCACCGAAGCUGCGGCAGCGACACAAAGUGUUGUUGGGUAGGGGAGCGUUCUGUAAGCCUGCGAAGGUGUACUGUGAGGUAUGCUGGAGGUAUCAGAAGUGCGAAUGCUGACAUAAGUAACGAUAAUGCGGGUGAAAAACCCGCACGCCGGAAGACCAAGGGUUCCUGUCCAACGUUAAUCGGGGCAGGGUGAGUCGACCCCUAAGGCGAGGCUGAAAAGCGUAGUCGAUGGGAAACGGGUUAAUAUUCCCGUACUGGUGGUAACUGCGAUGGGGGAACGGAGAAGGCUAGGUUGUCCGGGCGACGGUCGUCCCGGUUCAAGCAGGUAGGCAGAGUGAUUAGGCAAAUCCGGUCACUUAAUGCUGAGAUGUGAUGACGAACCACCAAGGUGGUGAAGCAAUUGAUGCCCCGCUUCCAGGAAAAGCCUCUAAGCUUCAGGUUACCAACAAUCGUACCCCAAACCGACACAGGUGGUCAGGUAGAGAAUACUCAGGCGCUUGAGAGAACUCGGGUGAAGGAACUAGGCAAAAUGGUGCCGUAACUUCGGGAGAAGGCACGCUGGCGGUAGGUAAAGUCCCUCGCGGACGGCGCUGAAGCCAGUCGAAGAUACCAGCUGGCUGCAACUGUUUAUUAAAAACACAGCACUGUGCAAACACGAAAGUGGACGUAUACGGUGUGACGCCUGCCCGGUGCUGGAAGGUUAAUUGAUGGGGUCAGCCGUAAGGCGAAGCUCCUGAUCGAAGCCCCAGUAAACGGCGGCCGUAACUAUAACGGUCCUAAGGUAGCGAAAUUCCUUGUCGGGUAAGUUCCGACCUGCACGAAUGGCGUAAUGAUGGCCAGGCUGUCUCCACCCGAGACUCAGUGAAAUUGAACUCGCUGUGAAGAUGCAGUGUACCCGCGGCAAGACGGAAAGACCCCGUGAACCUUUACUAUAGCUUGACACUGAACAUUGAGCCUUGAUGUGUAGGAUAGGUGGGAGGCUUUGAAGUGUGGACGCCAGUCUGCAUGGAGCCAACCUUGAAAUACCACCCUUUAACGUUUGAUGUUCUAACCUAGGCCCAUAAACUGGGUCGGGGACCGUGUCUGGUGGGUAGUUUGACUGGGGCGGUCUCCUCCUAAAGAGUAACGGAGGAGCACGAAGGUUGGCUAAGCAUGGUCGGACAUCAUGCGGUUAGUGCAAAGGCAUAAGCCAGCUUGACUGCGAGAGUGACGGCUCGAGCAGGUACGAAAGUAGGUCUUAGUGAUCCGGUGGUUCUGAAUGGAAGGGCCAUCGCUCAACGGAUAAAAGGUACUCCGGGGAUAACAGGCUGAUACCGCCCAAGAGUUCAUAUCGACGGCGGUGUUUGGCACCUCGAUGUCGGCUCAUCACAUCCUGGGGCUGAAGUAGGUCCCAAGGGUAUGGCUGUUCGCCAUUUAAAGUGGUACGCGAGCUGGGUUUAGAACGUCGUGAGACAGUUCGGUCCCUAUCUGCCGUGGGCGUUGGAAGAUUGAGAGGGGUUGCUCCUAGUACGAGAGGACCGGAGUGAACGCACCACUGGUGUUCGGGUUGUCAUGCCAAUGGCAUUGCCCGGUAGCUAAGUGCGGAAGAGAUAACCGCUGAAAGCAUCUAAGCGGGAAACUUGCCUCGAGAUGAGUCUUCCCUGUCGCUUUAAGCGACCUAAAGGAACGUUUAAGACUAAGACGUUGAUAGGCUGGGUGUGUAAGCGUAGCGAUACGUUGAGCUAACCAGUACUAAUGAACCGUGAGGCUUAACCUG